GCUGGCGGCAGGCCUAACACAUGCAAGUCGAGCGGUAGAGAGAAGCUUGCUUCUCUUGAGAGCGGCGGACGGGUGAGUAAUACCUAGGAAUCUGCCUGAUAGUGGGGGAUAACGUUCGGAAACGGACGCUAAUACCGCAUACGUCCUACGGGAGAAAGCAGGGGACCUUCGGGCCUUGCGCUAUCAGAUGAGCCUAGGUCGGAUUAGCUAGUUGGUGAGGUAAUGGCUCACCAAGGCUACGAUCCGUAACUGGUCUGAGAGGAUGAUCAGUCACACUGGAACUGAGACACGGUCCAGACUCCUACGGGAGGCAGCAGUGGGGAAUAUUGGACAAUGGGCGAAAGCCUGAUCCAGCCAUGCCGCGUGUGUGAAGAAGGUCUUCGGAUUGUAAAGCACUUUAAGUUGGGAGGAAGGGCAUUAACCUAAUACGUUAGUGUCUUGACGUUACCGACAGAAUAAGCACCGGCUAACUCUGUGCCAG
rnacentral:rRNA from 1 species